AAGACUCUAGAAUCGAUAGGAUUGUGUUGAUCAACCUUGGAUGGCACAGGGAUUUAUCCCGUCAUCAUAUGUGGAUCCAAAUAAGGAACGUUUGGGCAAUGAGUAUUUCAUGGAUUUGCUUUGGAGGUCCUCCUUUCAAGUUGUUCAAGAGAAUGAGCUAGGCCACGUAGUAAAUUUCAAAAUGCACGACAUAAUGCAUGAUCUUGCUCAACUAGUUGCGGGGACACAGUGCAUGAUUGUGGACUUGAGUUUUGGAAAACUUGAUAGAAGGGUUCGCCAUGUGUCAUACAGUAGUAAUUUCGAUCUAUCAUGGAUGCCGGGAACACCAUACUCUGGAGCGGACAAACCAAGUUCCUUACUCCUAAAUGAAUCCCCUAUCCCCUGUCCAUAGUGUGCCCUAUAAGCUUUUUUAUGACACAGUAGUAGGAAGCUUUAGGGGCUUGCGUUCUUUGAAUACGAGCAAUUCAGCAGUCACCAUGCUGCAAAUAUCCAUAAGCAACCUCGUCCAUCCAAGAUAUCUUGAUUUAUCUCGAAAUCCCAACAUCAAACUGCUCCCCGACACCAUUACUGAUCUCCAACUUGCAGACCUUAAUACUCACCAACCGUUAUAACCUUGAAAAAUUGCCAACAGACGUGGAAAAGUUGAUCAACCUUAGACAUCUGGAUAUUGAUGGAUGUGCCAAUCUGAAGCAAGCAUUAUGAGGAUUGGGGAAGGUGUAGUCUAUUCAAUCACUAGACACCGGUGGUAUCACCAUCUCCAGGCAAAGCUGUUGGCUCAAGGAACUGAAGGACCUAAACAACUUGCAUGGAGAGCUGAGGAUCGUGGACUUAGGACAUGAUGAUGACGCUACUUGGUUGUG